rnacentral:rRNA from 1 species
UACGUAGGGUGCAAGCGUUGUCCGGAAUUAUUGGGCGUAAAGAGCUCGUAGGCGGCUUGUUGCGUCAGCUGUGAAAACCCGCAGCUCAACUGUGGGCUUGCAGCUGAUACGGGCAGGCUUGAGUUCGGUAGGGGAGACUGGAAUUCCUGGUGUAGCGGUGAAAUGCGCAGAUAUCAGGAGGAACACCGGUGGCGAAGGCGGGACUCUGGGCCGAUACUGACGCUGAGGAGCGAAAGCGUGGGGAGCGAACAGG